CAAUAGCGUAUAUUAAAGUUGUUGCAGUUAAAAAGCUCGUAGUUGGAUUUCUGGUGGGAGCGAUCGGUCUGGCGCUUAGCGCGAGUACUUGCAUCGUCUCCGGCCAUCCUUGGGGAGAGUCUGUCUGGCAUUAAGUUGUCGGGCAGAGGAUCCUCAUCGUUUACUGUGAAAAAAUUAGAGUGUUCAAAGCAAGCCUACGCUCUGAAUAUAUUAGCAUGGAAUAACACGAUAGGACUCUGGCUUAUCUUGUUGGUCUGUGAGACCAGAGUAAUGAUUAAGAGGGACAGUCGGGGACAUUCGUAUUUCAUUGUCAGAGGUGAAAUUCUUGGAUUUAUGAAAGACGAACUUCUGCGAAAGCAUUUGUCAAGGAUGUUUUCAUUAA
rnacentral:rRNA from 1 species